ACUUAAAUAGUUUAAAUAAAAUAUCAGUUUGUGGAAUUGGAGAUAUAAAAAUUUAUUUUAAGUA
rnacentral:tRNA from 1 species